rnacentral:rRNA from 1 species
AUCCAGACUCCUACGGGAGGCAGCAGUGAGGAAUAUUGGUCAAUGGGAGGAAUCCUGAACCAGCCAUGCCGCGUGCAGGACGACGGCUCUACGAGUUGUAAACUGCUUUUGUACCGGGGUAAAAUGCCUUACGAGUAGGGUUUUGAAAGUACGGUACGAAUAAGGAUCGGCUAACUCCGUGCCAGCAGCCGCGGUAAUACGUAGGUGGCAAGCGUUGUCCGGAAUUACUGGGUGUAAAGGGAGCGCAGGCGGGAAGCCAAGUCAGCUGUGAAAACUACGGGCUUAACUUGUAGACUGCAGUUGAAACUGGUUUUCUUGAGUGAAGUAGAGGUUGGCGGAAUUCCGAGUGUAGCGGUGAAAUGCGUAGAUAUUCGGAGGAACACCGGUGGCGAAGGCGGCCAACUGGGCUUUAACUGACGCUGAGGCUCGAAAGUGUGGGGAGCAAACAGGAUUAGAUACCCCGGUAU